UAAGGAACUCGGCAAAAUGGCCCCGUAACUUCGGGAUAAGGGGUGCCACCGCAAGGUGGUCGCAGUGAAGAGGCCCAGGCGACUGUUUACCAAAAACACAGGUCUCCGCUAAGUCGCAAGACGAUGUAUGGGGGCUGACGCCUGCCCAGUGCCGGAAGGUUAAGGAAGCUGGUCAGCGUAAGCGAAGCUGGCGACUGAAGCCCCGGUGAACGGCGGCCGUAACAAUAACGGUCCUAAGGUAGCGAAAUUCCUUGUCGGGUAAGUUCCGACCCGCACGAAAGGCGUAACGAUCUGGGCGCUGUCUCGGAGAGAGCCUCGGCGAAAUAGAAUUGUCUGUGAAGAUGCGGACUACGUGCACCCGGACAGAAAGACCCUAUGAAGCUUUACUGUAGCUUGGUAUUGUGCCCGGGCUCGCAAUGCGCAGGAUAGGUGGGAGGCUUUGAUCAUCGGCUUGCGGGUCGAUGUGAGCCAACGGUGAGAUACCACUCUUUGCGAGCUAGGGUUCUAACGGUCACCCGUUAUCCGGGGACCGGACAGUAUCAGGUGGGCAGUUUGACUGGGGCGGUCGCCUCCUAAAAGGUAACGGAGGCGCGCAAAGGUUUGCUCAGGCUGGUUGGAAAUCAGCCGACGAGUGUAAAAGCAGAAGCAAGCUUGACUGUGAGACCUACAAGUCGAACAGGGACGAAAGUCGGCUUUAGUGAUCCGACGGUUCUGAGUGGAAGGGCCGUCGCUCAACGGAUAAAAGUUACUCUAGGAUAACAGGCUGAUCUCCCCCAAGAGUUCACAUCGACGGGGAGGUUUGGCACCUCGAUGUCGGCUCAUCGCAACCUGGGGCUGAAGUCGGUCCCAAGGGUUGGGCUGUUCGCCCAUUAAAGCGGUACGCGAGCUGGGUUCAGAACGUCGUGAGACAGUUCGGUCCAUAUCCGGUGCACGCGCAGGAACAUUGAGAGGAUUUCUCCCUAGUACGAGAGGACCGGGAGGAACGCACCUCUGGUGUACCAGUUAUCGUGCCAACGGUAAACGCUGGGUAGCCAUAUGCGGAGUGGAUAACCGCUGAAAGCAUCUAAGUGGGAAGCCCACCUCAAGAUGAAUGUUCCCAUGGCGUUAGCCAGUAAGGUCACGGGAAGAACACCCGUUGAUAGGCUCUACGUGGAAGCGCAGUAAUGCGUGAAGCGGAGGAGUACUAAUAGACCGAGGGCUUGAC
rnacentral:rRNA from 1 species